UACGUAGGUGGCAAGCGUUGUCCGGGAUUACUGGGUGUAAAGGGCGUGUAGGCGGGACUGCAAGUAAGAUGUGAAAUUCCCAGGCUCAACCUGGGGGCUGCAUCUGAAACUGUGGUUCUUGAGUGCUGGAGAGGAAAGCGGAAUUCCUAGUGUAGCGGUGAAAUGCGUAGAUAUUAGGAGGAACACCAGUGGCGAAGGCCGCUUUCUGGACAGUAACUGACGCUGAGGCGUGAAAGCGUGGGGAGCAAACAUG
rnacentral:rRNA from 1 species